GACGACCGCGAGAAGUCUGUCCUGUCCCACAUGUUACACACCCGAAAGUGGAUUUCAGAACAAUCGCCAUCUCAACAGAAGGGCAUCUGUGAAGAUGAACGUUCUCUCAUUGGCUUGUCUGUGCAGUCUGCACACACCUCCAAAAGCUAGAACACUUGCAUAGAACUGAGCACUUUUGUUCAGCUCCUGGGACUGUACAAGCUACCACCCACAACCCAUAUAGUAUAUGACCAACACCAUCUUCUGAAGCCAAGCCAUGUUGUGACUCAUCUUCAGCGUGCUGUCCUAUGUGGCUGACAGCAUAGCUGCCUGCUGCUGCCCCUCAAGAAAGAUCAAAUCAGCUACAGGAUGACAAUACCAGCACAAGGGGGAGGAUGUGUGGACAGUCUCCAAAGGGGCACCAUCCAGUCAAAACCCUCCAGCCAGAAAGAUUAUCUCUUAGAUGGCCAUUUUAGAGAGGGACUAGGGCUAGGGUUUUAGUACUUUGAAAAUGCAUCCUUCCUUCAAGAUUUCACUGAUCGUUCUGCAUAUGGCUAGCGGGUACUAUUCCUCUGUGCUUUUGAUAAUGACGACUUGUCUGUAAACUCCUUGUUUGGGAGGUGGAUAUAUCUGACAACACCCAAGUACAGAAGGUGACCAGCAGAGUAGUGUUUGGCUGAACUGCAACCUAUAUUGCUUUCACUAUAUUUAAUCAAAUCUAUGACAAAAGUAUUGAACAAAGUUAUGUCAUUAAGAAAAUGUUACUUGAUUAAGCAUAUUUCAGACUCUAUUGUAGCUUUAUUGCUGUUAUCCAACAAAUCUCUUUUCUUGGACAGGACCAUUUACCCUGGUAAAUAAGAGCUUUACAGGUUUCUUAACCCAACCUUACAACCACUGCUAAAUAUCAGUGCUAAAGCCAGAGCUAUUACAGAUGUCAAAGAACAAACUAUAAAAAGUCAAAUAAAGGCCUAUAUCCAUGAUACUCUAUUUAGAAAACUAUAGAAUAGUAAAAAAAAAUGGCCAUAAAC